ACUCGAGUGGCGAACGGGUGAGUAACACGUGGGUGAUCUGCCCUGCACUUCGGGAUAAGCCUGGGAAACUGGGUCUAAUACCGGAUAGGACGAUGGUUUGGAUGCCAUUGUGGAAAGUUUUUCGGUGUGGAGUGAGCUCGUGGCCUAUCAGCUUGUUGGUGGGGUAAUGGCCUACCAAGGCGUCGACGGGUAGCCGGCCUGAGAGGGUGUACGGCCACAUUGGGACUGAGAUACGGCCCAG
rnacentral:rRNA from 1 species